rnacentral:lncRNA from 1 species
UACUACUAAAGGAUUAAGGUUCAUCAGUAUUGUAUUGUGCCAAGAGGGAUGCAACUUGUCAAAAUAUUGUUAUGUAUAAUUCACUUAUUUCAUAUUGCAAUUAUGAAAAAGUCAUUCGAAGGUGAGAUUGAGAUUUGAUUCAAAUCAGUUUCACCCAUGUAUGUAUGAUGUUAAGGUUUUAGACAGGAUGUAUGAAGUUCAGGUUUCUGAUAAGAUUUACUAUCUUCAGGAUUUAGAAAGUAUAUAUAUAUAUAUAUAUAUAUACAUGUAUAUGAUGUUUUUUUAUCAGAUAAGAUAAUAUUCCAUCAUUAGUGGAUUUAAAUUCCAAUAAAAAAAUAUGAUAGAACUUAAUGUUUUAAGAAGUCAAACUCUACGCAAUUUGAUAAAGGGGCUUUUUUUCCCCUAAUGUUAUAAUUGUGGACUGUUUAUAUUUCAAAAUGCAGUUAUUAAAAUGGCU